CCUACGGGAGGCAGCAGUGAGGAAUAUUGGUCAAUGGACGAGAGUCUGAACCAGCCAAGUAGCGUGAAGGAUGACUGCCCUAUGGGUUGUAAACUUCUUUUAUAUGGGAAUAAAACAGGGCAUGCAUACCCUUUUGUAUGUACCAUAUGAAUAAGGAUCGGCUAACUCCGUGCCAGCAGCCGCGGUAAUACGGAGGAUCCGAGCGUUAUCCGGAUUUAUUGGGUUUAAAGGGAGCGUAGGUGGAUUGUUAAGUCAGUUGUGAAAGUUUGCGGCUCAACCGUAAAAUUGCAAUUGAUACUGGCAGUCUUGAGUACAGUUGAGGUAGGCGGAAUUCGUGGUGUAGCGGUGAAAUGCUUAGAUAUCACGAAGAACUCCGAGUGCGAAGGCAGCUUACUAAACUGCCACUGACAUUGAUGCUCGAAAGUGUGGGUAUCAAACAGGAUUAGAUACCCUAGUAGUC
rnacentral:rRNA from 1 species